rnacentral:tRNA from 1 species
UUGGGCUUAGCCAGGUGGUAAGACUACGGACUUUGACUCCGUCAUGCAUAGGGUCAAAUCCUAUAUCCCCAGCCA